rnacentral:rRNA from 1 species
AAAGCUCGUAGUCGAAUCUGUGUCCCGCGCCGCCGGUUCAUCGUCCGCGGUGUUAACUGGCGUGCCGCGGGACGUCCUGCCGGUGGGCUUAGCUCGCAAGGGGGUCCAACUCAAUCCCGCCGCGGUGCUCUUCACUGAGUGUCGAGGUGGGCCGGCACGUUUACUUUGAACAAAUUAGAGUGCUUAAAGCAGGCUAAAACUUCGCCUGAAUACUGUGUGCAUGGAAUAAUGGAAUAGGACCUCGGUUCUAUUUUGUUGGUUUUCGGAACCCCGAGGUAAUGAUUAAUAGGAACGGAUGGGGGCAUUCGUAUUGCGACGUUAGAGGUGAAAUUCUUGGAUCGUCGCAAGACGGACAGAAGCGAAAGCAUUUGCCAAAAACGCUUUCAUUGAUCAAGAACGAAAGUUAGAGGUUCGAAGGCGAUCAGAUACCGCCCUAGUUCUAACCAUAAACGAUGCCAGCUAGCGAUCCGCCGACGUUCCUCCGAUGACUCGGCGGGCAGCUUCCGGGAAACCAAAGCUUUUGGGUUCCGGGGGAAGUAUGGUUGCAAAGCUGAAACU